CCUACGGGAGGCAGCAGUGAGGAAUAUUGGUCAAUGGACGAGAGUCUGAACCAGCCAAGUAGCGUGAAGGAUGACUGCCCUAUGGGUUGUAAACUUCUUUUAUAGAGGAAUAAAACGAGGCACGUGUGCCUUUCAGCAUGUUCUUUAUGAAUAAGGAUCGGCUAACUCCGUGCCCGCAGCCGCGGGAAUACUGAGGAUCCGCGUGUUAUCCGGAUGUAUUGGGGUUAAAGGGAUCUGAGAUGGGUUGUUAAGUCAGUUGUGAAAGUUUGCGGCUGAACCGUAAGAUUGCAAUUGAUACUGGCAGUCUUGAGUACAGUUGAGGUAAGCGGAAUGCGUGGUGUAGCGGUGAAAUGCAUAGAUAUCACGAAGAACCCCGAUUGCGAAGGCAGCUUACUA
rnacentral:rRNA from 1 species